CUAGCUUUAAACCCAAAGGACUUGGCGGUGCCCCAAACCCACCUAGAGGAGCCUGUUCUACAACCGAUAACCCCCGUUAAACCUCACCACUCCUAGCCAACCCCGCCUAUAUACCGCCGUCGCCAGCUUACCCUAUGAAGGCCCAACAGUAAGCCCAAAGAGUACAACUCAAAACGUCAGGUCGAGGUGUAGCGCACGAAGUGGGAAGAAAUGGGCUACAUUUUCUCAACCCAGAAUACUUGCGAACGACACAGUGAAACCUGAGUCCAAAGACGGAUUUAGCAGUAAAAAAGAAAUAGAGAGUCUUUUUGAAACCGGCCAUGGGACGCGCA
rnacentral:rRNA from 1 species